rfam:Cavia porcellus supercont2_25 genomic scaffold, whole genome shotgun sequence.
GGGGAUUUAGCUCAGUGGUGUAAGCACCUGCCUGACAAGCAUGAGGUCUUGAGUUCAAUCCCUG